rnacentral:rRNA from 1 species
UACGUAGGGCGCAAGCGUUGUCCGGAAUUAUAGGGCGUAAAGAGCUCGUAGGCGGCCUGUUGCGUCCGCUGUGAAAUCCCGGGGCUUAACCCCGGGCGUGCAGUGGAUACGGGCAGGCUGGAGGCAGGCAGGGGAGAACGGAAUUCCCGGUGUAGCGGUGAAAUGCGCAGAUAUCGGGAGGAACACCAGUGGCGAAGGCGGUUGCCUGGGGCUUUGCUGACGCUGAUGCGCGAAAGCGUGGGGAGCGAUCCGG